ensembl:lncRNA
GGACACCUGUACCUGGAGAUCAUUGUGUUUCCUAUUGAAAAAGGAGGGGAAGCAGACAACAGGUCGUGUCUAUUCCUAGCUGAUGAAGGUUUCAAGAAAUUCCAGAAGUUAAACUCUUACCACUCUCAGCAAGACAGUAAAAAGAAGAAUUACUGUGAAAAUCAUUUUCAGUUCAAGUUUCUACCAAGAAUAUAGAGAGCACAGCACAGUGUUUACCAGAUCAUCUGGAGAACCUCUUGGCUUUCAGCAUACAAGCACUAUGGUCUUUCUUUUAGGAUCUCUGGCACAAUUUUUCUAUAGUACUUACAGUAUUUUCUGAAGAUCCUUCUACUUGAUCCAAAAUAGUCAGUGAAGAUAAUGAUCAUCUCUAUUUUGUAGUGCUGGAGAUGUGAGUUAAUUUGUUCUCCUUUUUUUGUGCAGAUGAAGUAUCCUUACUCGUGGCCAUAUUGAUAAGUGUAGCUUUCUGUCUGAAAAUUUAUGUUUUCUCUUCUUAGAGUUAAUCCUAUUUCAUAGCAUACAGUGAGGCAAGAUCUGUGAAACAGACAUAAACAGUCCAGAACUGAUUGUCUUUGAAGUACAGGUUGUGUUUCACUUGGCCUGUUAGAGUACUGCGUUUUGAUCAGAUGUUCUAACUACCCACAAAAUGGUUCAGCAAACAUGUGAGCAGUUGGCCCAAGUUCAGUAACAUUUAAGUGAAUUUUGGUGCCCUAGCCGUGAGUUACACUCACAUGCACUGUCAUUAGUUUUGAUGCAUGAGUGUAUGUAAUCUCAAACUGGUGUCAGAUAUGUAGAAACAAGUAUGAACGCUUCUUAAUAGUGUUAUCCCUUUCUCCAGAAUGAAAAACAUUUAUCCACUUUGCACAGUUUGCCACUUGUGUAUUUUCACUUUAAAUUAUAAGAAACAUUCUUAAGUAAACUUGCAAUCUCUUGGUUCUUUACAGAGCACUUAUUAAGCACAAAAUUCAAAUUUGUCAUCAGUUCUGGGAUAUGUGUCCUUACCUAUAGGUUGGUACUGGGCAGCAGUAACCACAAGCCACUGUUUAUACUGAUCGAUAAAAAAUAUAGACUUUCUUCUAUGUCAUCAUUACAGAGUGAUCAAUGAUGAUGGAAACAGAGAAGCAGUGUAUUUUUCUACUGCACAUUCUGCAAAGCAAGAGAAUCUAGAAUUAAUCCAAAUAGGUCACAAUUUUCACGAAGAUGAAAUGUAAAAUUUAUUUCAUAUCUAACCUAAAAAAAAUCAAGUUUUUCCAAAUUAUUUCCUUCCAGUCCUCUAUAGUUCAUUACUUCAUCUUUCUUCAUUCAUUCAUUAAAUGCUUAAAACAGGAAAUAUCUGACAGCUCUCAGCUGUAUCACACUGCUUGCAUUUAGCAGGGCUUACAGCAUCAGCCCACACUUUUAACUGAAUUAUUCCUGCAAAUAAGCACAAUUCAGACUAAGGCCUGCAGUGUAAAGUCCUAAAACUGUUUGCUAAGAGCUAAAAUUAAUACUAGCCUAGUUUCUGUAUUCUCAGCUUCUUCCGUGGAUGUUUGGAAAAUAACAUUAAAGGUCAACUGAAAACCAG